ACUAUUUUGACAGAUAAAUGUAUUGGAUUUAGAAUUCAUUUAUGUAGAUUACUCUACAAAUAGUA
rnacentral:tRNA from 1 species